CACGUAGUUAGCCGGUGCUUAUUCUUCAGGUACCGUCAUUAGCUCCAGAUAUUAGCCGGAACCGUUUCUUCCCUGACAAAAGAGCUUUACAACCCGAAGGCCUUCUUCACUCACGCGGCAUUGCUGGAUCAGGCUUGCGCCCAUUGUCCAAAAUUCCCCACUGCUGCCUCCCGUAGGAGUCUGGACCGUGUCUCAGUUCCAGUGUGGCUGGUCGUCCUCUCAGACCAGCUACUGAUCGUCGCCUUGGUAGGCCUUUACCCUACCAACUAGCUAAUCAGACAUCGGCCGCUCCAAAGCAUGAGGUCUUGCGAUCCCCCACUUUCUUCCGUAGAACGUAUGCGGUAUUAGCGCAACUUCGCUGCGUUACUCCCCACUUCUCGGGUUACGUUCCGAUGUAUUACUCCACCCGUUCGCCACUCCGCCACCACGGCCGAACGCCCGUGCUCGGUCCGUUCGACUUGCAGUGUGUAAAGC
rnacentral:rRNA from 1 species